rnacentral:rRNA from 1 species
GACGAAGGCUAGCGGGAGGCUUAACACAUGCAAGUCGAGGGGCAGCAUAGGGUAGCAAUACUCUGAUGGCGACCGGCAAACGGGUGAGUAACGCGUAUGCAACCUACCCUGUACAGGGGGAUAACCCGGAGAAAUUCGGACUAAUAUCCCGUAAUAAUAUCCGGAGGCAUCUUUGGAUAUUUAAAGUUCCGACGGUACGGGAUGGGCAUGCGUAACAUUAACUGGUUGGUAAGGUAACGGCUUACCAAGGCUAUGAUGUUUAGGGGUCCUGAGAGGGUGGUCCCCCACACUGGUACUGAGACACGGACCAGACUCCUACGGGAGCAGCAGUGAGGAAUAUUGGUCAAUGGGCGCAAGCCUGAACCAGCCAUCCCGCGUGCAGGAAGACGGCCCUAUGGGUUGUAAACUGCUUUUCCAGGGAGAGAAACUUACGCACGUGUUGCGUGACUGACGGUACCCUGGGAAUAAGCAUCGGCUAACUCCGUG